rfam:Sphingobium czechense LL01 genomic scaffold 25410_scaffold_02, whole genome shotgun sequence.
GAUGCGGGCCGGGCCCCUCUGGCGACAUGGAUUUCCCCCUUAUCCCUGUCGCGAUGUCGGACCGCAUCG